UUUCGCAAUGCCCGAAAGGGUGACGAAGCGACGCCGCGUGUGGGAAGAAGGCCUUCGGGUUGUAAACCACUGUCAGGAGUUAAGAAAUGCAAGGAUAUGAAUAGUAUCUUUGCUUGACUAAGGCUCCGGAGGAAGCCACGGCUAACUCUGUGCCAGCAGCCGCGGUAAUACAGAGGCGGCAAGCGUUGUUCGGAAUUAUUGGGCGUAAAGAGCACGUAGGCGGCUAUGCAAGUCAGCUGUGAAAGCCUCCUGCUUAACGGGAGAAGUGCAGUUGAAACUACGGGGCUAGAGUGCGGAAGGGGAGAGUGGAACUUCUGGUGGAGCGGUGAAAUGCGUAGAUAUCAGAAGGAACACCGGCGGCGAAAGCGGCUCUCUGGUCCGUAACUGACGCUGAGGUGCGAAAGCCAGGGGAGCAAACGGGAUUAGAUACCCCGGUAGUCCUAGCCGUAAACGAUGGGCACUAAGUAGAGGGGUUUU
rnacentral:rRNA from 1 species